GGCUCAGGACGAAUGCUGGCUGCGUGCUUAACACAUGCAAGUCGAACGGUGAUGGAGGGCUUGCCCUCCGGAUCAGUGGCGAACGGGUGAGUAACACGUGGGCAACCUGCCCCUCACUCUGGGAUAACACCGGGAAACCGGUGCUAAUACCGGAUACGACCAGACGCGACAUCGCGUCCGGUGGAAAGAACUUCGGUGAGGGAUGGGCCCGCGGCCUAUCAGCUUGUUGGUGAGGUAACGGCUCACCAAGGCGACGACGGGUAGCCGGCCUGAGAGGGCGACCGGCCACACUGGGACUGAGACACGGCCCAGACUCCUACGGGAGGCAGCAGUGGGGAAUAUUGCGCAAUGGGCGAAAGCCUGACGCAGCGACGCAGCGUGAGGGACGAAGGCCUUCGGGUUGUAAACCUCUUUCAGCGGGGACGAAGCGAAAGUGACGGUACCCGCAGAAGAAGCACCGGCUAACUACGUGCCAGCAGCCGCGGUAAUACGUAGGGUGCAAGCAUUGUCCGGAUUUAUUGGGCGUAAAGAGCUCGUAGGCGGCUUGUCACGUCGGGUGUGAAAACUCGGGGCUCAACCCCGAGCCUGCACUCGAUACGGGCUAGCUAGAGUGUUGCAGGGGAGACUGGAAUUCCUGGUGUAGCGGUGAAAUGCGCAGAUAUCAGGAGGAACACCGGUGGCGAAGGCGGGUCUCUGGGCAACUACUGACGCUGAGGAGCGAAAGCGUGGGGAGCGAACAGGAUUAGAUACCCUGGUAGUCCACGCCGUAAACGUUGGGCGCUAGGUGUGGGGAACCUUCCACGUUCUCCGUGCCGUAGCUAACGCAUUAAGCGCCCCGCCUGGGGAGUACGGCCGCAGGCUAAAACUC
rnacentral:rRNA from 1 species